rnacentral:hammerhead_ribozyme from 1 species
AUCCAGCUGACAAGUCCCAAAUAGUACGAAACGUGCGUCUAAACUGCAU